AUGCAAGUCGAACGAAGCUUUGAGGAGCUUGCUCUUUAAAGCUUAGUGGCGGACGGGUGAGUAACGCGUGAGCAACCUGCCUCUCAGAGGGGGAUAACGUUUUGAAAAGAACGCUAAUACCGCAUAACAUAUCGGAACCGCAUGAUUCUGAUAUCAAAGGAGCAAUCCGCUGAGAGAUGGGCUCGCGUCCGAUUAGUUAGUUGGUGAGGUAACGGCUCACCAAGACUACGAUCGGUAGCCGGACUGAGAGGUUGAUCGGCCACAUUGGGACUGAGACACGGCCCAGACUCCUACGGGAGGCAGCAGUGGGGGAUAUUGCGCAAUGGGGGAAACCCUGACGCAGCAACGCCGCGUGAAGGAAGAAGGUCUUCGGAUUGUAAACUUCUUUUGUCAGGGACGAAGAAAGUGACGGUACCUGACGAAUAAGCUCCGGCUAACUACGUGCCAGCAGCCGCGGUAAUACUUAGGGAGCGAGCGUUGUCCGGAUUUACUGGGUGUAAAGGGUGCGUAGGCG
rnacentral:rRNA from 1 species